GAUGAACGCUGGCGGCGUGCCUAAUACAUGCAAGUCGAGCGAACAGACGAGGAGCUUGCUCCUCUGACGUUAGCGGCGGACGGGUGAGUAACACGUGGAUAACCUACCUAUAAGACUGGGAUAACUUCGGGAAACCGGAGCUAAUACCGGAUAAUAUAUUGAACCGCAUGGUUCAAUAGUGAAAGACGGUUGUGCUGUCACUUAUAGAUGGAUCCGCGCCGCAUUAGCUAGUUGGUAAGGUAACGGCUUACCAAGGCAACGAUGCGUAGCCGACCUGAGAGGGUGAUCGGCCACACUGGAACUGAGACACGGUCCAGACUCCUACGGGAGGCAGCAGUAGGGAAUCUUCCGCAGUGGGCGAAAGCCUGACGGAGCAACGCCGCGUGAGUGAUGAAGGUCUUCGGAUCGUAAAACUCUGUUAUUAGGGAAGAACAAAUGUGUAAGUAACUAUGCACGUCUUGACGGUACCUAAUCAGAAAGCCACGGCUAACUACGUG
rnacentral:rRNA from 1 species